rnacentral:rRNA from 1 species
ACGAACGCUGGCGGCAGGCCUAACACAUGCAAGUCGAACGCUGUAGCAAUACAGAGUGGCAGACGGGUGAGUAACGCGUGGGAAUCUUCCUAUCGGUACGGAAUAGCUCAGGGAAACUUGGGGUAAUACCGCAUACGCCCUUCGGGGGAAAGAUUUAUCGCCGAUAGAUGAGCCCGCGUCUGAUUAGCUAGUUGGUGAGGUAAUGGCUCACCAAGGCGACGAUCAGUAGCUGGUCUGAGAGGAUGACCAGCCACACUGGGACUGAGACACGGCCCAGACUCCUACGGGAGGCAGCAGUGGGGAAUAUUGGACAAUGGGCGCAAGCCUGAUCCAGCCAUGCCGCGUGAGUGACGAAGGUCUUCGGAUUGUAAAGCUCUUUUGGCGGGGACGAUAAUGACGGUACCCGCAGAAUAAGCCCCGGCUAACUUCGU